ACAGCAGCAGCCACGGUAAUACGAAGGGGGCUAGCGUUGCUCGGAAUGACUGGGCGUAAAGGGCGCGUAGGCGGUUUGUACAGUUGGAUGUGAAAUUCCUGGGCUUAACCUGGGGGCUGCAUUCAAUACGUGCAGGCUUGAGUGUGGAAGAGGGUUGUGGAAUUCCCAGUGUAGAGGUGAAAUUCGUAGAUAUUGGGAAGAACACCGGUGGCGAAGGCGGCAACCUGGUCCAUUACUGACGCUGAGGCGCGAAAGCGUGGGGAGCAAACAGGAUUAGAUACCCCUGUAGUCCCUGUCUCUUAUAC
rnacentral:rRNA from 1 species